GUGUCUUCCUGUCUUAGAAGGACACUUGUCAUUGGAUUUAGGGCCCACCUGAUCCAGAAUGAUCUCACCUUGAGGUCCUUAAUUACAUCUGCCAAGCCCCCAGGCAAUACAUGGUGGAGGUAGGUGUCCAACCCAUGCAUUUUGACCAACUCCUCCAACCACUGGAUGACAUCGCCUCUAAGCUCAGAAAGCUGCAACUUCUGCUUACACAAAUAAUGGGCAUUUAAUGUGGCACUGGAUCCAAUACUCAGCUUAUAUAGGUGAGAACUAACUAGUAUUGGAGGGUUACAGGGCAAGGAAUUGGGCAUAGGUUGGGAAGGCAGGCAAUCUGGGUCCUAGAGUUAAUUCUCUGUUGAUCCCUAAGCUCCAAGAAAUAGGAUACUGCUUCAUCCCUGCUCCUCUUCCAAGCCACUUCACCCGAUUUAACAGGAAGGGAGCGUUAUAACUAUGGAGACAAAAGUGGAUCCCUCUUAGAUGCUAACCUGUCCGGUUGAUUUCUGAUUAGCUCCAGUCCCGUGAAUGCCUCCUGCUUCCUACUUUAUUUGCUGUCCUUAGUCUAAGAACAUGUCAACUUUGAUGUUAUCACACAAAUUAUAGGACAUGACGCACAGCCUUCUUGCCUGUUCAAUAACAGUGCAGAGAUCUACCUGUCUUGCUGCUGCCCAAGACCACGCUUCUGUCUCUACAGAAACUAAAGCUCAGGAGACUGACUUGCUGAAGGUCCCACAAUUAACAGGGUCUUGCUCUGUUACCUAGGCUGGAGUGCAGUAGCAUGAUCAUGGCUCACUGCAACCUCAACCACCUCGGCUCAGCAAUCCUCCCACCUCAACCUCCCAAGUGGCUGGAACCACAGCUUCUUCAUACGGCAAAUGAAAUGGCUUCCCGGUGAAGAUUGAACCCAGGAGGCAGAGGUUGCAGUGUGGUGAGAUUGUGCCACUGCACUCCAGCUUGGGCGACAGAGCAAGACUUCGUCUCCAAAAACAAAAAAAAAAAAUUUGGAAAGAACUUAGAGGGGACGGUUUAUCUCUGCUCAACUCAGUGUCAGCUGGGGUGGUUCAAAGAUUGGGGGCUAGAAUAAACUCAAAACUCACUCAUUCACGUGUCCGGUUGGCUGAUGUUGGCUGUUAGCUGGGAGCUCAUGCAGAACUGUUGUCCAAAUAUCAACACGUGACUUUUCCAUGUUGAUCGGGUUUGGCUCUUUGUCCCCAUCCAAACCUCAUGUCAAAUUGUAAUCCCUAUGUGUGGAGGGAGGGACCUGUAAUCCCCAUAUGUUGAGGGAGGGAGGUGAUUGGCUCAUGGGGUUGGUUUCCCCCCAUGCUGUUCUCAUGAUAGUGAGUGAGUUCUCAUGAGAUCUGAUGGUUUUAUAAGGGGCUUUUCUCCACUUUGCUUGGCACUUCUCUCUCCUGCUGCCAUGUGAGGAAGGACGCGUUUGCUUCCCCUUCUGCCAUGAUUGCAAGUUUCCUGAGGCCUCCCCAGUCGUGUGAAUUGUGAGUCAAUUAAAACUCUUUCCUUUAUAAAUUACCCACUCUCAAAUAUUUAUUUAUAGCAUGUGAAAAUGGAUUAAUACACAUGUAGUGUUUGAUUUCCCCAUCAAAUGACAAGGUGGUUGGGUUCCCAGAGCAAGCAUUGCACACGAGAGAGAGAGAGAGAGAGAGAGAGAGAGAGACAGCGAGCUAGGAAACCUAGUCCCUGAAGUCGCAUAGUAUUGUCUGCUGCCUUCCUGUUUUGUUUGUUUGUUUUAGAGAUGGGGUCUUGCUCUGUUGCAUAGGCUAGAGUGCAAGUGGCAGAUCAUAGCUCAGUGCAGUCUUGAAUUCCUGGGCUCAAGCGAUCUUCCCACCUAAGCCUCCUGAGUAGCUGGGACUACAGGUGUGUGCCACCAUGCCUGGUUAAUUUUUAUUUUAUUAGUAGAGAUGGGGUCUUGCUAUGUUGGCCAAGCUUGUCUUGAACUCCUGGCUUCAAACUUGGCCUCCCAAAGCGCUGGGAUUACAGACACGAGCCACUGCACCAGUCUUGUCUUCGAUUCUUUACAA
rnacentral:lncRNA from 10 species